ensembl:lncRNA novel transcript, antisense to SUMF1
GGCUCUAAUGCUCUGGAGGACACAUCCUUAUUCUCCAAGAUCUCUAUCAAGUCAUUUAGAGAGAAACAGAAGUGGCUGGUUAUGAAAACCGGCAGCACAGCUUUUUCCCUCCCUGUGGUGUCUUCCCAGAUAAGAAAGCAGGCCUGAAUCCCGGGUGCUGUUCUUCCAGACCACAUGAAAGAUUCUGCAUAUCUGUUACAUUCUAAGGCCACUUCACAACACUACCAAACCCAGCUUUACAGUUUGGAAGACUGAGAGAAUCAUACCCAAAGCCACAAACAUCCAAAUAUGGUGUUCUUCACAAGAAACUAAUAAUGAACUUGAGACAGAGUCUGCAGGGAUAGGUAUCAGAAGUCAAGUCUAAAGUAUAUGAGGUCUAUGUUCAAACAGGAGCCUGGACAUGACUGAGAUAAAGAAUGAUUCCCGAGCUGGGCACACUGGCUUAUGCCUAUAAUUCCAGUGACUCAGAAGGCUGAGGCAAGAGGAUUGCUUGAGGCCAAGAGUCUGAGGCUCUAUUGAGCUAUGAUUGCACCACUACUGUCCAACCUGGGGGACACAGCAAGAGCUUGUCUCUUAAAAAAGAAAAAAAAAGAUUGAGUCCAGAGUUAGAGCUACAGGAUAAAAAUAAGUUAACUGAACUCAGGGGGAGAAAGGAGGGGAACCUACUCCAAAUUCUAGCUCAGGUCUUACCUAAAUGUGGGCUGGCUCAGCUCCCAAGUGGCUGAGUGAGGUCAUGACUGAGAAGAAAGGACCCCUGGCCCAAGUCGUGAGUUGAAUGACUCUUAGGUUGAGAAGCUUUCGUACCUAAGAAUCAAGUGGCCAGUGGUGCACCAUGGGAGAGAUGAUCACCAAACUUUUCUUCUCUUUGAGGUCACACACCUAGAUUACCUGCCCCAGUCUCCCUUGCAGUUAGAUCUGGCUGUGAGGUUGAGUUUUAGCCAGUGGGAUAAAGAUGGAAGUUUCCACUGGCCUAACCCAUAAAUUCCUCCACAACUCUUCCCACUUUUAAUCUUAUGCCCCCAUGUCGUCUCUUCUCCCAGCCUUCUUCGUCUCAAUAAAUGUCACUAGCACAUAUCCAGUCAUUCAAGGAAAAACACAAUGGAGAAAACCAUCCUCAACUACCCAUUCCCUUUACCUCACUCUUUCCCAGCAUCCUGCAAAAUCUCGCUCCAAAUAUAGCUCCAGUUUGUCCACUUCCCUCCCUUUUCUCCAGUCUAUAACCUUGGUUUAC